rnacentral:rRNA from 1 species
AAUCAACGCUGGCGGCGUGCCUCAGACAUGCAAGUCGAACGAUUAAGACUUCCUUCGGGAAGUGCAUAAAGCGGCGCACGGGUGAGUAACACGUAAGUAAUCUACCCUCGAGUGGGGAAUAACGUUCGGAAACGAACGCUAAUACCGCAUAAUGCAGCGGCAUCGCAAGAUGACAGUUGUUAAAGGAGUAAUUCGCUUGAGGAGGAGCUUGCGGCAGAUUAGCUAGUUGGUAAGGUAACGGCUUACCAAGGCUACGAUCUGUAUCCGGUCUAAGAGGACGGUCGGACACACUGACACUGAAUAACGGGUCAGACUCCUACGGGAGGCAGCAGUCGGGAAUUUUGGGCAAUGGGCGAAAGCCUGACCCAGCAACGCCGCGUGAAGGAUGAAGUAUUUCGGUAUGUAAACUUCGAAAGAAUGGGAAGAAUAAAUGACGGUACCAUUUAUAAGCUCCGGCUAACUACGUGCCAGCCGCCGCCGUAACAC